ACUCUUCUUUGUACGAUAAGAACACAGACAUCCUCCGUCUCAACAUUAGAAAAAUGCAUCGUCCACUCGUAAUGCUUCUGUUAGUGACACUGAUGGCUGUUUACACCGUGGCUGAACUGUUAGGGAGGUGCCCAGGUUCGUGCAGAUAUGAGUGCCCGGAACGAACGCCGGAAAACGAGCCUUGCGCACUUUGCCAAUGUGGCAAACCUUACGGACCACUGUGCUGUUUGUAAAACGUUUUUUGUUUAUCAACAGCAGAAUUCCCUAGCGCUUUUAUUACGUUCUGAUGAUCUUUAAUUUGUAGUGACAUCAGAUUCAUGUAUUAUUUUUUUGUGUUUCAAUAAUUCUGAACUGGCAGAAGUUCCUCCAUUUUUAUAUUUAUUUACCGUUGUAAUUGAAUAAAAGAA